CCUACGGGGCGCAGCAGUGAGGAAUAUUGGUCAAUGGGCGCGAGCCUGAACCAGCCACGUAGCGUGAAGGAUGAAUGCCCUACGGGUUGUAAACUCCUUUUAUAAGGGAAUAAAGUGUGGGACGUGUCCUGUUUUGUAUGUACCUUAUGAAUAAGGAUCGGCUAACUCCGUGCCGGCAGCCGCGGUAAUACGGAGGAUCCGAGGGUUGUCCGGAUUUAUUGGGUUUAAAGGGUGCGUAGGCGGCCUUUUAAGUCAGCGGUGAAAUUCUGGGGCUCAACCAUAGAAUUGCCGGUGAAACUGGUGGGCUUGAGUAUGUGAGAGGCAGGCGGAAUGCGUGGUGUAGCGGUGAAAUGCUUAGAUAUCACGCAGAACCCCGAUGGCGAAGGCAGCCUGCCAGGCCAUGACUGACGCUGAUGCACGAAAGCGUGGGGAUCAAACAGGAUUAGAUACCCGAGUAGUC
rnacentral:rRNA from 1 species